rnacentral:lncRNA from 1 species
AUGCCGACCGUAACCAUGGACGACGACCCGACGGUGACGCGCAGCAUCAGCGCGGGCGCCGUCUCCGGCGGCUCCGACGGCGCCCCUUCCACCGGCCCGGCGGCGGCGGCGCGGCGCCACAGCAGCGCGGGGAUGCGGGCCCUCCUGUGGGCCGCCCACGGGGCCCGGUCCCUGGGUAGCUCGCUGGGCUCCGGGCUCCACCGCAGACGGGACGGCGCCUUCCCCCCCCACAUCCUGACCCCCGGCAGCGCCCCGCCCUUCACCAUCCCCAGCCUGUCCCUGCAGCCCGACGGCCCCCCCAGGGGCCGCCCCGGAGAGGAGGAGGAGGAGGAGGAGGACGAGGAGGAGGGGGACGUCGACGAAGGUCUGGGGGCGGAGCUGGCGUCGUCUCUGAGCGUCUCGGCGUCUCGCUCCGAGCUGUGGCGGACGACGUCGUCCUCCUCGGACCUCCGCGUGCCCCCGCCCGACCGACGCGCCCAGCGGACCGUCUCGGACCCCCUGAGGAGGGGGUCCCUGCUGAGAGAGGGCUCCUACCCGGGGCCCUACCGGGAGGAGGUUCGCCGCUCCUACCAAGGGCCCUACCUGGAGGACGCGCACCGGCACGGCCUGGACCCGGCCAGCAGGGCGGCGCUCUCCCUGCCGCACCUGGCCAAGGUGACCACGCCCUACGGCUUCGUGACGCUGAGCCAGAGCCCCCAGAGGGCGAGCGAGGAGGUGCUGCUCUGCCCGGUCGGCCCGCAUCGCGCCCCGGCCAAACGGGACGCGGGGCCGUCGACGGGGGGCGGCGGCGGCGGUGGCGGCCGCGCCAAGGCCCCCCUGGAGAGGACGGGCGGCGCGGGGGACAGAGGCCCGCCGCCCCGGCCCCCCCCGGGUCAGAGGUCGUCCGAAGACUCGGGCGACGCCCGGACGGAGGCAGCCGCGACGGCGGCCGUGUCUUCACAAAGGGGGGCGAGCAAGAAGCCGAAACGGCGGCUCUACGACAUCAUACGGAAGCACAUCCUGCCGCUUCAUUAG